GGUCCACUGCGGCUCCCAUGGACCAUCGGUCCACGCACGGUGUGAGAAAUCCAUGCGGGCCAUGCCUGCGUGCGCCCGCACAUGUGCUCUCCUAGACCGGGGCCGCGUACCAUAUGCAUCCGUGUGUCCGCACGCUAGGCCGCGUGCUCGUGGCUGGCCUGCACGCCAUCGUACCCGCUCGCUCUACCACGGCUGCCACCAGCUUCUGUCGCUCCAUAGAUCAUGCCAC
rnacentral:lncRNA from 1 species